CAGGCUGGCCUUUAACUCACUAUGUAGUUCAGGCUGGCCUCCAAUUUGUGGCACUCCUCAUGCCUCAGCCUCCCGAGUGCUGAAACUACAGGAUUGUGCCACCAUACCCAGCUCACAUCUGCUUUCAAUUAGUAGUCAUACCAUAAGUUUCUCUGAAGGAAAGAAAAUCUAAAAAGGUAAUGAUUUAUGGUAAUGUUCAGGCACUUCUUUUUCCAUUGGUGCUGAAAUAUAUCUGAGCAUGGACUAGAAUUCAGAACUCCAUGAAAGGGAGCUACUAUAGAGAGAGGUUAUGUCACAAAGCCUGGGUACUGACUGAGGUAGGUAUUGGAGUUAACAGUGGCUUUCUUUUCUACCUACUCUGGUGGAAGACUGAGCCUCUGAAAGUGAGUGAUUUCUUCAACUUGAAUCUUACUAAUUGGAAUUCUCCUUUUCAAUUUAAGGGUAUGUCUGUGACUUUUGACCAGAUAACGAUACUACUUAUCAUUUGGAGUGGGAUCAUGGUGACCAUGUCCGUGCUAAUAGGCACUUUCAUCUUUCUUUAUGUCAAAAUGUUCCAGGCAGUGAAGGCUUCAAAGGAAUGUGAUCCUGAGGCUAACUCAGCCAACACCACCAAGGACAAGGUCAUCCUGGCUGAAACUGCUGCUAUGGACUCAUCCCAGCUUUUAACUGUAUGAUGAAUGCAAAAUGUAUGCAGAUUAUGAUCCCCUGCCACCUUGCUUUUGUGGCAUAAAUGAGGGACUCUGAUGUGGCCAUGGGGGACACAAAAAUCUUCAUAAGCAAUAUUUUUCUUAAAAUUCUGUUAUUCAAAUUGAGUUCCAUAAUGUUGCUCUAUGCUAUAUUCAGCAAAAUGUUACUUCAUAUAUUUGUGAAUAAAUA
rnacentral:lncRNA from 1 species